UGCUGGAGGUAUCAGAAGUGCGAAUGCUGACAUAAGUAACGAUAAAGCGGGUGAAAAGCCCGCUCGCCGGAAGACCAAGGGUUCCUGUCCAACGUUAAUCGGGGCAGGGUGAGUCGACCCCUAAGGCGAGGCCGAAAGGCGUAGUCGAUGGGAAACGGGUUAAUAUUCCCGUACUUGGUGUUACUGCGAAGGGGGGACGGAGAAGGCUAUGUUGGCCGGGCGACGGUUGUCCCGGUUUAAGCGUGUAGGUGUGUGUUCCAGGUAAAUCCGGUUCACUUUAACACUGAGGCGUGACGACGAGGCACUACGGUGCUGAAGCAACAAAUGCCCUGCUUCCAGGAAAAGCCUCUAAGCAUCAGGUAACAUCAAAUCGUACCCCAAACCGACACAGGUGGUCAGGUAGAGAAUACCAAGGCGCUUGAGAGAACUCGGGUGAAGGAACUAGGCAAAAUGGUGCCGUAACUUCGGGAGAAGGCACGCUGACAUGUAGGUGAAGUGAUUUACUCAUGGAGCUGAAGUCAGUCGAAGAUACCAGCUGGCUGCAACUGUUUAUUAAAAACACAGCACUGUGCAAACACGAAAGUGGACGUAUACGGUGUGACGCCUGCCCGGUGCCGGAAGGUUAAUUGAUGGGGUCAGCGCAAGCGAAGCUCCUGAUCGAAGCCCCGGUAAACGGCGGCCGUAACUAUAACGGUCCUAAGGUAGCGAAAUUCCUUGUCGGGUAAGUUCCGACCUGCACGAAUGGCGUAAUGAUGGCCAGGCUGUCUCCACCCGAGACUCAGUGAAAUUGAACUCGCUGUGAAGAUGCAGUGUACCCGCGGCAAGACGGAAAGACCCCGUGAACCUUUACUAUAGCUUGACACUGAACAUUGAGCCUUGAUGUGUAGGAUAGGUGGGAGGCUUUGAAGUGUGGACGCCAGUCUGCAUGGAGCCGACCUUGAAAUACCACCCUUUAAUGUUUGAUGUUCUAACGUGGACCCGUUA
rnacentral:rRNA from 1 species